rnacentral:tRNA from 1 species
GAGGGUAUAGCUCAGGGGUAGAGUGCGUGCUUAGCAUGCAGGAGGUCCUGGGUUCCAUUCCCAGUGCCUCCA